UGCAGUCGGCGGAUUUAUUAGAGCUUGCUCUAAUUAAUUAGCGGCGGACGGGUGAGUAACACGUGGGCAACCUGCCCUGCAGAUUGGGAUAACUCCGGGAAACCGGGGCUAAUACCGAAUAACAUUGGAAACCUCAUGGUUUCCUUUUAAAAGGCGGCUUCGGCUGUCACUGCAGGAUGGGCCCGCGGCGCAUUAGCUAGUUGGUGAGGUAACGGCUCACCAAGGCGACGAUGCGUAGCCGACCUGAGAGGGUGAUCGGCCACACUGGGACUGAGACACGGCCCAGACUCCUACGGGAGGCAGCAGUAGGGAAUCUUCCGCAAUGGACGAAAGUCUGACGGAGCAACGCCGCGUGAGUGAAGAAGGUUUUCGGAUCGUAAAACUCUGUUGUCAGGGAAGAACAAGUACGGGAGUAACUGACCGUACCUUGACGGUACCUGGCCAGAAAGCCACGGCUAACUACGUGCCAGCAGCCGCGGUAAUACGUAGGUGGCAAGCGUUGUCCGGAAUUAUUGGGCGUAAAGCGCGCGCAGGCGGCCUUUUAAGUCUGAUGUGAAAGCCCCCGGCUCAACCGGGGAGGGUCAUUGGAAACUGGAAGGCUUGAGUGCAGAAGAGAAGAGCGGAAUUCCACGUGUAGCGGUGAAAUGCGUAGAGAUGUGGAGGAACACCAGUGGCGAAGGCGGCUCUUUGGUCUGUAACUGACGCUGAGGCGCGAAAGCGUGGGGAGCGAACAGGAUUAGAUACCCUGGUAGUCCACGCCGUAAACGAUGAGUGCUAAGUGUUGGGGGGUUUCCGCCCCUCAGUGCUGCAGCUAACGCAUUAAGCACUCCGCCUGGGGAGUACGGCCGCAAGGCUGAAACUCAAAGGAAUUGACGGGGGCCCGCACAAGCGGUGGAGCAUGUGGUUUAAUUCGAAGCAACGCGAAGAACCUUACCGGGUCUUGACAUCCCGCUGACCGGUCUGGAGACAGAUCUUCCCCUUUGGGGGGCAGCGGGUGACAGGGGGUGCAUGGUUG
rnacentral:rRNA from 1 species